UACGAAGGGUGCAAACGUUGCUCGGAAUUAUUGGGCGUAAAGCGCACGUAGGCGGCUUUGCAAGUCGGAUGUGAAAUCCCUCGGCUUAACCAAGGAAGUGCAUCCGAAACUGCAGAGCUUGAGUACUUAAGAGGAUCGCGGAAUUCCCGGUGUAGAGGUGAAAUGCGUAGAGAUCGGGUGGAACACCAGUGGCGAAGGCGGCAUCCUGGACCGACAUUGACGCUGAUGAGCGAAAGCUAGGGGAGCAAACGGG
rnacentral:rRNA from 1 species